UACGGGAGGCAGCAGUGGGGAAUAUUGCACAAUGGGCGCAAGCCUGAUGCAGCCAUGCCGCGUGUAUGAAGAAGGCCUUCGGGUUGUAAAGUACUUUCAGUCGUGAGGAAGGUGUUAAGGUUAAUAACCUUAGCAAUUGACGUUAGCGACAGAAGAAGCACCGGCUAACUCCGUGCCAGCAGCCGCGGUAAUACGGAGGGUGCGAGCGUUAAUCGGAAUUACUGGGCGUAAAGGGCACGCAGGCGGUUAAUUAAGUUGGAUGUGAAAUCCCCGGGCUUAACCUGGGAAUGGCAUUCAAGACUGGUUAGCUAGAGUCUUGUAGAGGGGGUAGAAUUCCAUGUAUAGCGGUGAAAUGCGUAGAGAUGUGGAGGAAUACCGGUGGCGAAGGCGGCCCCUGGGACAAAGACUGACGCUCAUGUGCGAAAGCGUGGGGAGCAAACAGGAUUAGAUACC
rnacentral:rRNA from 1 species